GAUUGCCGGUUUUGUCGGAGCUUUUAAAGGAACAAAGAAUAAGCACUUGGGGAAACAGUGAAGGGGUUAGUGUGGUCUGGGAGACUUUAUCACCGCUUGUGUACAACUGUAGAUCCGAAUUAGAACUUCUUGGUCAUGCGUUUUCAGUAAACUGAAAAGGACUGCAGGUUUCAGGCCGCGAGAGGCCCAGGUUACCGCCAAAAUAUUUAUUGGCCCCAAAGCCCCGCGUGUUUCGGACAGAAUGGUCCCUGCUUUGCACUGGGAACCUGGGGGUUGGAAGCGUUUUCUUUCUCAAUGAACUACCACAGUAAAUCUGUACUCCGCAACUUAAAGGGCCCUCGUAUCUUUUCUGACCAGAAUUGGAUGCACUGAUUGACUGUGACCUCACCAGAUCUUUAUCAAGGUUCAGCAUCUUUUCCGGUCCCAAUGCACUGCCACCGAUGUUGGAAUUUGGGAUCUCGGGGUUUAUGCUCCCAUCCCAGAAUGUGAUUUUUGAAGUCCCGGCGGUCCCUCUGGAUUACCACACCUAGAGCCUGGAUGAAGACUUAGGAAUGUGUGGGUUUGUACGUUUGGGUUGAGUCGGCUGAUGCGCAAAGGUGUGUUUUGGGUUCAUGUAUGGGAUGGCCUUUCGGAGGAAGUACUGGGUGCGGGUACAGUUACCGCAUUUAAAAGGCAGUUGGG